rnacentral:rRNA from 1 species
UACGUAGGCAGCGAGCGUUGUUCGGAAUUACUGGGCGUAAAGCGUGCGUAGGCGGUGCCUCAAGUUUGGUGUGAAAUCUCUCGGCUCAACCGGGAGGGUGCGCCGAAAACUGAGGUGCUCGAGUGUGGGAGAGGUAAGCGGAAUUUCUGGUGUAGCGGUGAAAUGCGUAGAUAUCAGGAGGAACACCGGCGGUGUAGACGGCUUACUGGACCAUAACUGACGCUGAGGCACGAAAGUGUGGGGAGCAAACAGG